rnacentral:rRNA from 1 species
AGAGUUUGAUCCUGGCUCAGGAUGAACGCUAUUGACAGGCUUAACACAUGCAAGUCGAGGGGCAGCGGGGGAGUAGCAAUACUCCCGCCGGCGACCGGCGCACGGGUGAGUAACACGUAUGAAACCUGCCCGUAGCAGGGGGGGAUAAGCGGAAGAAAUUCCGUCUAAUACCGCGUAACAACCCUUGGAGGCAUCUCCUCGGGUUUAAAGGAAGCGAUUCCGGCUACGGAUGGUCAUGCGUCGCAUUAGCUGGUUGGCGGGGUAACGGCCCACCAAGGCGACGAUGCGUAGGGGUUCUGAGAGGAAGGUCCCCCACACUGGUACUGAGACACGGACCAGACUCCUACGGGAGGCAGCAGUGAGGAAUAUUGGUCAAUGGCCGCAGGGCUGAACCAGCCAAGUCGCGUGAGGGAUGACGGUCCUAUGGAUUGUAAACCUCUUUUGUCAGGGAGCAAAGGGCGCCACGUGUGGCGCUUUGCGAGUACCUGAAGAAAAAGCAUCGGCUAACUCCGUGCCAGCAGCCGCGGUAAUACGGAGGAUGCGAGCGUUAUCCGGAUUUAUUGGGUUUAAAGGGUGCGCAGGCGGAAUGUCAAGUCAGCGGUAAAAUUUCGGGGCUCAACCCCGUCGUGCCGUUGAAACUGGCGUUCUUGAGUGAGCGAGAAGUAUGCGGAAUGCGUGGUGUAGCGGUGAAAUGCGUAGAUAUCACGCAGAACUCCGAUUGCGAAGGCAGCAUACCGGCGCUCAACUGACGCUCAUGCACGAAAGCGUGGGUAUCGAACAGGAUUAGAUACCCUGGUAGUCCACGCAGUAAACGAUGAAUACUAACUGUCCGGGCAGAAUGAUGCCUGGGUGGUACAGCGAAAGCGUUAAGUAUUCCACCUGGGGAGUACGCCGGCAACGGUGAAACUCAAAGGAAUUGACGGGGGCCCGCACAAGCGGAGGAACAUGUGGUUUUAAUUCGAUGAUACGCGAGGAACCUUACCCGGGCUCAAACGACGGAUGGAUGUUUCUGAAAGGAGGCAGUCCUACGGGACAUCCGUCGCGGUGCUGCCUGGUUGUCGUCAGCUCGUGCCG